AAUAGCUCAUUACAACAGCCGUUGUUUCUUGGAUCUCUCCUCUACUUGGAUAUCUCUGGUAAUUCUAGAGCUAAUACAUGCAUCAAGACCCGACGCAAGGACGGUCGCAAUUAUUAGAACAAGACCAUCCGGUCUUCGGACCGUUCUUUGGUGACUCUGAAUAACUGAGCAAAUCACAUGGUCUCGUACCGGUGAUGUAUCUUUCAAGUGUCUGCCUUAUCAACUUUCGAUGGUAGUUUAUGUGCCUACCAUGGUUGUUACGGGUAACGGAGAAUCAGGGUUUGACUCCGGAGAGGGAGCCUGAGAAACGGCUACCACUUCUAAGGAAGGCAGCAGGCGCGCAAAUUACCCAUUCUCGGUAUGAGGAGGUAGUGACGAAAAAUACCAAGCCGAGGCUCAUUGAGUUUCGGCAUUGGAAUGAGAACAAUCUAAAUCUUUUAACGAGGAUCUAGUGGAGGGCAAGUCUGGUGCCAGCAGCCGCGGUAAUUCCAGCUCCGCAAGUGUAUAUCUAUAUUGCUGAGGUUAAAAAGCUCGUAGUUGGAUCUGCGUGUUAGCAUCUGGUGUGGUCUCUGAUCACUACUGGAAUGCAGCACAGUUGUGUUGGUUGGCCACUGAUGCUCUUCAUCGGGUGUCAGUUGGUGACUGAUGAGUUUACUUUGAACAAAUUAGAGUGCUCAAAACAGGCGUUUUGCUUGUAUAUGUCUGCAUGGAAUAAUAGAAUAAGACCUCUGGUCUAUUUUGUUGGUUUUCGGAUGAGAGAUAAUGAUUAAGAGGGACUGACGGGGGCAU
rnacentral:rRNA from 1 species